AAAUGAAUUGACGGGGGCCCGCACAAGCAGCGGAGCGUGUUGCUUAAUUCGAUGCAACGCGAAGAACCUUACCUGGGCUUGACAUGAUGGGAAAAGCCGUAGAGAUACGGUGUCCUUCGGGGUCCAUCACAGGUGGUGCAUGGCUGUCGUCAGCUCGUGUCGUGAGAUGUUGGGUUAAGUCCCGCAACGAGCGCAACCCUUAUUCUAUGUUGCCAGCGGAUAAUGCCGGGGACUCGUGGAAGACUGCCGGGGUCAACUCGGAGGAAGGUGGGGACGACGUCAAGUCAUCAUGCCCCUUAUGUCCAGGGCUGCAAACACGCUACAAUGGCCGGUACAAAGGGCUGCAAACUCGUGAGAGUGAGCGAAUCCCAUAAAGCCGGUCUCAGUUCGGAUUGGAGGCUGCAACUCGCCUCCAUGAAGCUGGAGUUGCUAGUAAUCCCGGAUCAGCACGCCGGGGUGAAUACGUUCCCGGGCCUUGCACACACCGCCCGU
rnacentral:rRNA from 1 species